UGCAGGUCCGAACCGAGUGCAGUGGUGUUUAUAACUAAUUGAUCACAGCCAGUUACAUAUUUCUUUGUUCCUUCUCCAAUCCCACUGCUUCACUUGACUAGCUUUAA
ensembl:misc_RNA Y_RNA Y RNA